rnacentral:rRNA from 1 species
AGUGAACGCUGGCGGUAGGCCUAACACAUGCAAGUCGAACGGCAGCACAGUAAGAGCUUGCUCUUACGGGUGGCGAGUGGCGGACGGGUGAGGAAUACAUCGGAAUCUACUUUUUCGUGGGGGAUAACGUAGGGAAACUUACGCUAAUACCGCACACGACCUACGGGUGAAAGCAGGGGAUCUUCGGACCUUGCGCGAUUGAAUGAGCCGAUGUCGGAUUAGCUAGUUGGCGGGGUAAAGGCCCACCAAGGCGACGAUCCGUAGCUGGUCUGAGAGGAUGAUCAGCCACACUGGAACUGGGACACGGUCCAGACUCCUACGGGAGGCAGCAGUGGGGAAUAUUGGACAAUGGGCGCAAGCCUGAUCCAGCCAUACCGCGUGGGUGAAGAAGGCCUUCGGGUUGUAAAGCCCUUUUGUUGGGAAAGAAAAGCAGCAGGUUAAUACCCCGCUGUUCUGACGGUACCCAAAGAAUAAGCACCGGCUAACUUCGUG